GGGGAUUUAGCUCAGUGGUAGAGCGCUUGCCUAGCAAGUGCAAGGCCCUGGGUUCUAGGCAAGUGCAAGGCCCUGGGUUCGGUCCCCAGCUCCG
rnacentral:tRNA from 1 species